CAGCCCAUAAGGAAUAAAAGGAAAAGAAAUGACCCAAUAAAAAUAAGAAAAUGUUAGAGAGAGAGAGAGAGAACAUUGGGGUGUUUAAAAGACAAAACCCAUUGCGUUUUUUCAACACAGUAGAGAAAGAGAACAGGGAGAGGACAGCAACUUCCAUCCACCAGCGAUUUCUAUGAGCGAUCAUCUCCACUAGCAAGCAUCUUCUAC
rnacentral:lncRNA from 1 species